AGAGUUUGAUCAUGGCUCAGAACGUACGCUGGCGGCACGCCUAACACAUGCAAGUCGAACGAAGUAGCAAUACUUAGUGGCAGACGGGUGAGUAACAUGUGGGUAUCUACCCUAUGGCCUGGAAUAACACGAGGAAACUUGUGCUAAUACUGGAUAAGUCUUUACGGAGAAAGCUUUAUGCACCAUUGGAUGAGCCUGCACUUGAUUAGUUUGUUGGUAGGGUAAUGGCCUACCAAGACUUUGAUCAAUAGCUGAUUUGAGAGGAUGAUCAGCCACAUUGGGACUGAGACACGGCCCAAACUCCUACGGGAGGCAGCAGUGGGGAAUCUUGCACAAUGGAGGAAACUCUGAUGCAGCGAUGCCGCGUGAGUGAAGAAGGCCCUUGGGUUGUAAAGCUCUUUCGUCGGGGAAGAAAAUGACUGUACCCGAAUAAGAAGGUCCGGCUAACUUCGUGCCAGCCGCCGCGGU
rnacentral:rRNA from 1 species